AAGACUGUACUUCACAGGAUCGUUUCUGUAGUACGUCUUCACUUCUCUCUACUCAACAGUAGAGUCAAUGAAACCACGAAGAUGAGACGUAGUCCUUCCCCCUGAGCGUGAGGCCGUUGCAACACCGAGAUCACUCGGAGAUGUGACAUCGAUGAUCGUUCACCUUCUCUACGGAGUCGGCUACGGGGGUAGGGCUCUCUGAGUGGU